rnacentral:rRNA from 1 species
GGCGUAAACAAAGGGAAAGCGAGACGGUGACGUUAAGCAAAUACCCAGAAAAUAACGUCCCAGUUCGGAUUGUAGUCUGCAACCCGACUACAUGAAGCUGGAAUCGCUAGUAAUCGCGAAUCAGAAUGUCGCGGUGAAUACGUUCCCGGGUCUUGUACACACCGCCCGUCACACCAUGGGAGUCGGAAAUGCCCGAAGUCAGUGACCCAACCGUAAGGAGGGAGCUGCCGAAGGUGGAGCCGGUAACUGGGGUGAAGUCGUAACAAGGUACC